rnacentral:rRNA from 1 species
UAGUCCACGCCGUAAACGAUCAUCACUCGCUGUUGGCGAUAUACUGUCAGCGGCCAAGCGAAAGUAUUAAGUGAUGCACCUGGGGAGUACGCCGGCAACGGUGAAACUCAAAGGAAUUGACGGGGGGCCCGCACAAGCGGUGGAGCAUGUGGUUUAAUUCGAUGAUACGCGAGGAACCUUACCAGGGCUUAAAUGUAGUAUGACCGGGUCUGGAAACAGGCCUUCCCUUCGGGGCAGAUUACAAGGUGCUGCAUGGUUGUCGUCAGCUCGUGCCGUGAGGUGUUAGGUUAAGUCCUGCAACGAGCGCAACCCCUAUUCUUAGUUGCCAGCAGUUCGGCUGGGCACUCUAUGGAAACUGCCCGUGACUAAGCGGGAGGAAGGGUGUGGAUGACGUCAAGUCCUCAUGGGCCCUUACGGGGUUGGGGCUACACACGUGCUACAAUGGGUAGUGACAGUGGGGUUAAUCCCAAAAAACUAUACUCAGUUCGGGAUUGUCGUCUGCAACUCGACGGGCAU